GCGGUGGCCGAGGCGGUUCCCGAUGCAAUGUCCGAUGCCGAGGCGGUGCCCGAGGCGGUUCCCGAGGCCGAGGCGGUGGCCGAGGCGGUGCCCGAGGCCGAGGCGGUGCCCGAUGCCGUGCCAGAGAUGGUGCCAGAGAUGGUUCCCGAUGUAAUGCCCGAGACCGAGGCUGUUCCGGAGGUCGAGGCGGUGCCCGAUGUUGUUCCCGAUGCCGAGGCGGUGACCGAUACCGUUCCCGAGGCGGUGCCCGAUGCCGAGGUCGUUCCCGAGGCGGUGUCCUUGUCCGAUGCCAUUCCCGAGGCGGUGCCCGAUGCUGUUCCGGAGGCCGAUGCGGGGCCCGAGAUGGUUCCGGAGGCGAUACCCGUGUCCAAGGCCGUUCCCGAGGCGGUGCCCUUGUCUGAGGCCGUUCCCGAUGCCGUUCCCAAUGCCGUGACCGGGCCAUCGCCACAGCCUGCUCCUUACUGGCUCCCCGAUUGGCUGGUUCCGUUCGGGUCACUCAAAUGGCGAAUUCCUCCCUGGCCGUCUGCACAACGAGAAUGGACUGAUCCACCGUGGCCACCUGAACUGCCUGGCCCCUCGUGGUCCCCUGAACUUUCGGGUCCACCGUGGCCACCUGAACUGCCUGGUCCCUCGUGGUCCCCUGAACUUUCGGGCCCACCAUGGCCCCCUGAUCUGACCGAGCCACCUGGGCUACCAGGGGAGCCAUCGCUGCCGGUCCCAGUUCCCCUACACGGGCCUGGCCCGCCAUCCCUCCCCCUGUUCUGCCUCCACCAGUCCACCUCCCUCCUGGUCUCUUUGUUU
ensembl:lncRNA